rnacentral:tRNA from 1 species
CCUGCGAUACCUCAGUUGGUAGAGCGGUGGAUUGUAGAUCCAUAGGUCGCUGGUUCAAAUCCGGCUCGAAGGA